GCUCUUUUAUGAUAAUUUAGACACAAUAUUAUAACCACGCUUGGAUAUCUUUUUAUAUAUAAUUGUUCAUUGUUUAUUGUUGUGUGUAUCCAGUUAAUAAUUUUAUCCCAUACCUGUGUCAAAAGCGGCUUUCUGAUUGGUUUAGAGCAGGUGAGUUUGUCGUCGAGCUCACCUGCUUUUUGCCCGAACUCACCUGCUUUUCGCCGAACUCACCCGCGAAACUGCUCACGUUGCAACUUGCAAUAACAAUAACAAAUAUGGCGGACAAGAUUUAGGCUUUAUAGAACUUUUUUUGGUGACUAACUUGCUGAGACUGAUGAAAAACCAAAGAAAAAUGCAGUAAAGGUAAUCUAGACGUAGAUAAAGAAUUAUUUUCUUGCCCAGUGAUUUUUUUGGCCGGGAAAAUGUUGACAAGACAUCGACGAAUAUAUCUCGAAGAGCUACAAAUGUGUGUAUGGCUCGGUGUAUGGGAUAAAAACCAAACGUACU
rnacentral:lncRNA from 1 species